rnacentral:rRNA from 1 species
GACGAACGCUGGCGGCGUGCUUAACACAUGCAAGUCGAACGGUGAAAGCGGAGCUUGCUCCGCUGGAUCAGUGGCGAACGGGUGAGUAACACGUGGGCAACCUGCCCCUCACUUCGGGAUAACUCCGGGAAACCGGGGCUAAUACCGGAUAUGACCUCCUUGGGCAUCCUUGGAGGUGGAAAGUUUUUCGGUGAGGGAUGGGCCCGCGGCCUAUCAGCUUGUUGGCGAGGUAGUGGCUCACCAAGGCGACGACGGGUAGCCGGCCUGAGAGGGCGACCGGCCACACUGGGACUGCGACACGGCCCAGACUCCUACGGGAGGCAGCAGUGGGGAAUAUUGCGCAAUGGGCGGAAGCCUGACGCAGCAACGCCGCGUGCGGGAUGACGGCCUUCGGGUUGUAAACCGCUUUCAGCAGGGAAGAAGCCGCAAGGUGACGGUACCUGCAGAAAAAGCACCGGCUAACUACGUGCCAGCCGCCGCCGUAA